CUCUAGCUGUCACAUUUUUCACACCAUCCAAAGAAAUAAGAAAAUUGAAAUUCUCGUCAGCAUAUUUGUAUUUUUUGCCCCUGACGAAAAAUACCAUCAAAUAACAUUAGAAAUUUGUAAAAUUCAACGCAUUCCAUCAUUCCAAAUGGACUGAAACUCAAUGACCCGCCCGCAUAAGAAGAAUGAAUGAAAACAUAGGCACAAAUUCCAGCCAAUGACUAUAUACAAAUGAAAAUGCAAAACUAAAAAG
rnacentral:lncRNA from 1 species